AUAGUCUGUAUGAAAAAAAGAAAAGAACAAAUAGUCCAAAAACAUGACAGUUCUUCUGCUGACAGCUUUCAGAGGCACCUGGGCACUUGGAAGUUAAAGUUAUGAGCAGACGUGUGGACUACAACAUUUUUUUAAAAUUAUGUUUCCUUGAUAAGCACUACAGCCUAUAUUGUCCCUGUCGGAGCUGGACACGUUAACACCAAAAGCUGGCAGGUUACUCUACCUAGAGGAGCGGCGCGCAGCGCAGGGCGGCAGACCGAGCCGCCGACGGCACGGCGCAGGGCCGUCGCGAGCCCACGUCUGAGGAGGACCUCCAUGACACACUGAAUACUGAAGAGAGACACACAGACACACAGAGCUGCCCCUUUGAAAUAUGUCAGGACUACUUAACUUCUCUGGAUCAGCAUGGGUCAAGUCACCAGAGGGAAUUUAAAGCUAGACAGAAGAGAAGAAAAAAGAAAACCCGGAGCUCUGUGAUGAAAGGCUGGACAGAGGCGGCCUUAUAUGGCCAUGUUUCCAGCACAGCAGCAACAUCAACCUGCAGGGAAACUGCGUUCUACACCCUCCUCUUCUGUCUGCUUGGCUUCAAGGUCGGGAUUUUGGACACUGUAGCAAGAGCGGGACGUGUCCAAUUAUGGCCAGGACCCCGCUCCGCUUCCGUCGAGCUCACGGCACGCGGCCUCGUCACGUCGACGGACCGGACCGGACCGGACCGGACUGGACUGGACCGGAACUGACGGACCGGACUGGACCGGACCGAGCCGAACUGGACUGGACUGGAACGGAACGGACCGGACCGGACUCGCGGUUAAUAACGCCCACCUCGCACCCACGUGACCCGAGCACCUGAGGAGGCGGCCAUCUUUUCAUUUAUAACCAUGACAAAGCAACUACAACAUGGCGGAGAGUGUACUCAUUGAAUUCUGUACUUUUGCUAUUGCCAUAAAGAACUUCGAAUGCA